UCGUCCUUAGACCCAUUCACAUUUGGAGACCCAGACACAUUAGGAACCCUCUUUCCCUUGGUGUAGUUCCCAGAUUAGAUCCACACAGCCAACAUAUUUAUGCUUCUUCUCUUCAUGGUUGCUUUUGUUCGAUCUUAGAGUUCUGAUUCGUGCUUCUCUUCGUGGUUGCUUUUGUUUAAUGUUGGAGUUUUCGGCCAAAUCGCGUUGUCGGGUAAGCUUCAUCGUCCCAAAUUUGGAGCAAUCAGAGGGUUCAAAGCUUGUUCAGACUCACACAUUGGUGAGGAAAUCAGAAAGUAAUGGAUCUGAGGAAGAGAUGGAGUGAUGGAGAUCGGUGGCUAAAGUCGGCCAAUGGGCAGCAAAAAAGAUUACGUAUGUGCAUGAUCAAACAUCAUAGAAGAAGAUUCGCGCAUUGGGGGUGUUGUUGAUCAGUCUACUGUUGGUAGGAUCAACAAGGUCUUGCAACACCUCUAAGAGAUGAUGGAGGACAACUUGUCUGCAUAGAGAGAUUAAGAACUAAAGAUAUAACACAUAGAGUAGAACUGAAGAAUUAUUGGCAGGAAAAAAUAAGAGUAGCUUUGUAUUUUCAGUAAGCAGCAAUUCAUUUCAUUGACUGUAUGAGUAAACCAUCUCAGUAUUGUCUUAUUCAUCUAAACUUCGUCUUCCUUCUCAAAUUCAUGUUCUUCUCUGUAUUACCCAUAACUCUCUUUUAUGAAACAUCAACCCUAAAUCCCCUACUCACCAUAUAGACCGAAGCACUUCCAAGUUCCAACCCAUUCAUUGUUCCUCUCAUAUGUAUCAGAAGCAUAGAAAGCAACACAGAUGAAAGUCCUUGCCCAUAGACGUUUUUCGCAAAUGGGUUUUCUUUGAUUGUGAUUUCUCCAGUUACAAAGGGUUUUAUUAAAUCUUUGGAGGUCUCUUGGGGAACUUUCUGAGUGGCUUCAGCUGAUGAGCAAGUUGAAUUAGUGGAGAUUUCAAAUUCUGAGGUCCCUGCAAUGCGGUUUUUUCACUUGACGAUGAUCAGGCAGCUAGAGGGGUUGUAACUCACAGCAGGUUAUCUGGAGUGACGGUGAUGCCAUUAUGCAAUCAAGAGAGGAUACUGCUAACAAGGUGUUGCAAGAAACCGGUGCAGUUCUUGUUCAUCCAUAUAAUGAUGGGCGGGUCAUAAGUGGGCAGGGUACCAUAUCAUUGGAGCUUUUAGAGCAAGUCCCGCAAAUAGACACUAUAAUAGUUCCUAAGUGGCGAAGGUUUGAUAUCUGGGGUUGCAUUGGCUGCCAAGUUUAUCAACCCUGCUAUUUGAGUAUUGGCUGCUGAACUAAUGGGAGAACCUACUUGCUUAGAUUUUGUACCAUGGAAAAUGAGGUUCAAGAAGUGUGAAGAACAUCCGGAAGGUUCAUCUUCAAAAUCUCAAAGUUCACAAAAACAAAAUACUGAGAAUACUAAAUCAUCCCAACCAGCUAUGAAGAAAAGACGGGACCCCACACGAUGCAAGGAUAUCUUAGACAUAACAACCCUAAUACCAUUAAGGUACAUAUGGAGAUCUUAUAUAGUUUGCAUAAUUAGACAACAUUCAAUAUGAAGGAGAAAAAAUGAUUUCUUCUAUCUUUAUUUUUGUACUAAACAACCAUAAUUGUUAAUUUUAGUUUAGAGUCAAUAAGUAUGGACAGCUGACAGGAAAUGGAAGUACCAAAUAUGGUAAUUACUUGGGAGCAAUUUCCCGCAAUAGUUGAUUAGCUCCUUUGUGCUACAAAACAUGGUAGGAGAUGCCUAAUCGGCUUAAAGAAGAUAUGUGGACCAUAGUAAAGGUAAAACCCUUCAAUGACAUGAAAAUAAUUUUCAUGGAGAAAGUUGAUUAUCAUGCAGCAAUUAUCACAUUUUCAAGGGCAGUAUGAUGUGGGAAUCAUUUCAAAACAGUGGACAUUAUCCUCUAUCGGAACAAAAUGGAGGGGGUACAAGUGUGAACUAAAAAGUGCAUACUACUUGAUUCGGGAUACAGAUGCGAAAAGAUUGGCUAACCCACCACCUGAAGUUAUGAAGUACCAUUGGGAAUUUUUGGUUAAGCAUUGGGGUACGGCUAAGGCGAAUGAGGACAGCGAAAAAAACAAGGAACGUUGUGGGAAGCAAACAAUGCUUCAUACUACAGGGACAAAAAGUUUUGCACAUGUUCCUGCUAACGUUAGUCGAAGUUUUGGCAAUAUUAAUUAUUUCAAUUCUUAUGUGGUUGAAUGAUUAUAAAUGUUAGUGGUAAAUAAUAUUUAUCACAAUGUGUAUGUUUCUUUUAUAAAUUGAGGAAAAAGAAGGUAUUAAGCUUUCUCGUGCAUAUUUAUUCAUUCGUACAAAUGUAAACAAGGAUUACAAGGCUACUCAUGCUGCUGCUCAAGAGAUGAUUCUAAGUUUUCAAAA